UACGUAGGGCGCGAGCGUUGUCCGGAAUUAUUGGGCGUAAAGGGCUUGUAGGCGGCUGGUCGCGUCUGCCGUGAAAUCCCCUGGCUUAACUGGGGGCGUGCGGUGGGUACGGGCCGGCUUGAGUGCGGUAGGGGAGACUGGAAUUCCUGGUGUAGCGGUGGAAUGCGCAGAUAUCAGGAGGAACACCGGUGGCGAAGGCGGGUCUCUGGGCCGUUACUGACGCUGAGGAGCGAAAGCGUGGGGAGCGAACAGGAUUAGAUACCCUGGUAGUCCACGCCGUAAACGUUGGGCACUAGGUGUGGGGGGCCUUUCCGGGUCUUCCGCGCCGCAGCUAACGCAUUAAGUGCCCCGCCUGGGGAGUACGGCCGCAAGGCUAAAACUCAAAGGAAUUGACGGGGGCCCGCACAAGCGGCGGAGCAUGCGGAUUAAUUCGAUGCAACGCGAAGAACCUUACCAAGGCUUGACAUGUCGGCGAUUCCCGCGGAGACGCGGUCUCCCCCUUGUGGGGCGCCGUCACAGGUGGUGCGUGGUUGUCGUCAGCUCGUGUCGUGAGAUGUUGGGUUAAGUCCCGCAACGAGCGCAACCCCUGUCCCGUGUUGCCAGCACGUCGUGGUGGGGACUCGCGGGAGACUGCCGGGGUCAACUCGGAGGAGGGUGGGGAUGACGUCAAAUCAUCAUGCCCCUUAUGUCUUGGGCUUCACGCAUGCUACAAUGGCCGGUACAGAGGGUUGCGAUGCCGCGAGGCGGGGCGAAUCCCUUAAAGCCGGUCUCAGUUCGGAUCGGUGUCUGCAACUCGACACCGUGAAGUUGGAGUCGCUAGUAAUCGCGGAUCAGCAACGCCGCGGUGAAUACGUUCUCGGGCCUUGUACACACCGCCCGUCACGUCAUGAAAGUCGGCAACACCCGAAGCCCGUGGCCCCAUGGGGA
rnacentral:rRNA from 1 species